AAAUUGUGUAUGUCACAAAUUGUUGUGUGCCAUGGUGUUUCACCCUGUUAAAGAGAGUUAGUUGUGGUGGGGUGGCCUGUAGCUCA